AUGCGAAGAAGCAGCUCGAGGACAAGGGAGAUGAGUAACACCUUAUUAAAAUUGUACCUUACAGAAAAGGAUUUUGGUUGCAAGAAGAAUGACAAGGAUAAUGUGGGUAUUGCAGGGGCCACUAACGAGGUGGCGACCCUGAAGGAGGCGGUGUCCGCGGCCGAACGUAAUGCGGCCGCGGAGCGCACCGAGCGAGAGAAGCAGGAGGCGCGGGUGGCGGAGGUACAACAAGAUCUCCAGGAUCUCGUGAAAAAAUAUGAGAGCCUGGAGCGUGACUCGAAGACUCGAGAGUCUGAGCUUGCAACGGCUCUUGAGAGUGCCAAAGCCGCUAAGGCCGAAGCCUACAAGGCCCUCCAAGAAAUCGAGGCGUUGAAGAAAAUAGCAGCGGGUAAGGCAUUUUUCAUGCAAAGUAAGCAUGUGAGUGUUAAUUACCUGUUGCUUACCCGAAUUUGGAGCUCUCCAGGAGCGUUCGCAGAUCUUCCUCGUAGCGUGUCCGAUGCCGCCGCAUUCUACCAGGCCGAGGAGGGGAGAUCGACGGAGAAGGUCUUCUGGUCUCAGUAUGCUGAGGCCGGACAUCCGGUGCCCCUUAGCGACCAGCUGAAGCAACUGGUCGAGCUCCACAAGGCGGCCGAACAAGCCAUGAAGGGCCUCAUUGUUCGGCUGUGGCCGAAGGAGGCCAUGCCUGGGAGCUACUUCGACCUGGUGCGGCAGCUGGUGGAUGCGUGUCCAUGGGUUGAAGUCAUCAAGCACUCUGCCUGUAUUGAAGGUGCCCGUCGGGCCCUUGCCCGCGCAAAGGUGCACUGGGGCAAGAUGGAUGCUCAGAAGCUUGUGACGGACGUGCCACCGUAG
rnacentral:rRNA from 1 species